rnacentral:rRNA from 1 species
AUUGAACGCUGGCGGCAUGCCUUACACAUGCAAGUCGAACGGCAGCACGGGAGCAAUCCUGGUGGCGAGUGGCGAACGGGUGAGUAAUAUAUCGGAACGUGCCCAGUCGUGGGGGAUAACGUAGCGAACGCUACGCUAAUACCGCAUACGAACUAUGGAUGAAAGCGGGGGAUCGCAAGACCUCGCGCGAUUGGAGCGGCCGAUAUCAGAUUAGGUAGUUGGUGGGGUAAAGGCUCACCAAGCCGACGAUCUGUAGCUAGUCUGAGAGGACGACCAGCCACACUGGGACUGAGACACGGCCCAGACUCCUACGGGAGGCAGCAGUGGGGAAUUUUGGACAAUGGGCGCAAGCCUGAUCCAGCAAUGCCGCGUGCAGGAUGAAGGCCUUCGGGUUGUAAACUGCUUUUGUACGGAGCGAAAAGGCUUCCACUAAUACUGGGGGCUCAUGACGGUACCGUAAGAAUAAGCACCGGCUAUCUACGUGCCAGCAGCCGCUGUAACAC